UGACUUGUCAGGGAGAAUAACAGUCCCAGGACUGGGAAAGGAGGCAGGAAAAAUCAGCAAAGGAAAUGGCAUAUCCUGUGGAACAAAGCCGGAGGGACCUGCCAAGUCCUUAAGGAACCAGCACGGUCUAUGCUUCCAUGUGUAUCUGAGAGAAUGCCUCCAACGACACUGGGUUGAAACUGAAUCACUGAGGAUGGAAGUCUUAUACCGUGUUCCAGAGAGUUUGACCAGGGAGCAAGGAAAGAGCCAGAGAAGGCUUCUUCCACCGCCAGUCAGUCUUCAGAGAAAAGAAUGACAGGGCCACUUGCAGCCACUCUGCUCUUCUGGAAUAUUUAUAGCUUCCAGCGAGCCUUCGCCUUCUUCAUCCUCCAAGAAUGAUCAUCAGUUUCUCUGAAAUGAGCCUCAAUGACUGUCAGCAUGGAAUUGUUUUUCAAAGCCCUUGGGAAGUUUCUCUUCCACUUCUUUGUUGGAAAUUAGAGUCACUGGGAGAACCACCUUCUAGACAAUGAAGACCUGAAGGCUGGAUAUCUAGGAGAAACACAGACAGUGCAUGGAAAACAUGAUGUCCCAAAAUCACAGGUCAAAUUUUCCAGGGAGGUGUGCUCAGAAAUGUGGGCAAUGUAAAGGCACUUUGUGAUUACUAAGUGUCUGGAUACAACAUCACUAAGGCUGGAGCAGUGAGACAUCACCACGAGUCCAUCGCCCCUGUGCUCUCAUAUGCCAGAGCUCCGGAGUGAAAAACCAGAUCCCAGGACCAGCAUAAUGGUGCAGAUGCCCUGGAUCCUGUGAAGAACAAGGUGGUGAGUGCUACAGCCCAGGGACUCUGGUCCCCAGGGCAGAAGAAAAAUCCUUCAUAAAAUAGCCUGGAAACACUGAAAGUGAAUGAUAGCAGGAAAUGUGAAAACAACAACAAAAGCGAAAGCAAAACACAGCACUAGAAAAAACAUGUCAAAGUCCACCGACUUUCUCCUGUGGAGAAGCCAGGAGGUAUAUGUUUGGGGGAGGCACAGUCAAGAUCACCAGCAGCAAAAGGUGGACAAAUAGGUCCAAAUGCUAUGGGUUCUGAGUAUCUAGAGAGGAGGCUCUUGACACGAGCAUGGUGAGAAUGUGUGUGUGACCCACGGCAUAGGCAGGUGGUCGUGAUAUUCAGUUAUAGGGCAGUGCACCAGCGAGAAUGACAGUGACCUUCCAGCUUAUUCCCUAACUUGGCUGUCUUCUCCACCCAUGGUAUGGUAGAGGUCUAGAGAAAUGGUCAGCCUCUCCACCUUUAUCUCUCUUCCUGGAGGCACCAAAGGGGUUUAUCUUCUUUGGUUAGAUUGGUAAUUACAUGUGUGCCUCUGGCAAAGGUCCUAGCUCAGCCACAGCUGCAUCCUGGUUACUAACACAAGUCCUGUGGGGCCUGGUUACUAACACAAGCUUUAUUUGACAUGAGGGUCCAAGUCCUCCAAACUCAGGGCUUUCUGAGGCUGGUGGAAGUGUGGAGUUAGAUAAGAAGGUCUCAGAAUCCUCCACGAUAGGCUGGGGUUACAUUCCUUGGCACUAGGGGCAAAGCAGAGAAUAGUCUAGCUCUUCUUUGGAAAGAGAUUACUCCUAAACUCGAAGGGGAUCAAUAUCCAGAGCCAGGAUUUAACCCAAAUUGAUUUUGUUCAAAGCCUACAUUCUUUUUAUGCUCCUGCACUCAUAACAAGGGGAGGAAGCAUUUGACUGAAUAAGUGAUAUUGGGAUGACUGAAUUACAAGCAAUUUUUUCUAAAGAUUUUAUUGAUUUACUUUAGGCUGGGAGAGGGAGAAGCAACUUCCCUCCUGAGCAAGGAGCCUGACAUGGGACUCAAUCGCAGGACUCUGGGAUCAUGACCUGAGCCAGACACAGAUGCUGAACCGACUGAGCCACCCAGGCAGCCUGAAUUACAAGCAAUUUGGAAUUAAGUUUAAAUAUCUUGGGCUAUAUACCAAAAUAAACUCAAAAUCAAGAGUUUACUAUUGAAUGAUAGGAAAACUAGCAUAAAUUAGAAUCUGAUAUCAGAUACUUGAUUAAACCACUUUCUAAAAUUUGAAGCAGGUAACAUAAUAGAAGAAACAGAUUGACAGAAAUUUACAUGCAAAAUAUAAACAUCAACACAACAGUUAUAAACAGGCAAUGAACAGGAACACAUUUAAAUGGGAAGAAAACAAUCAUCAACAAAUACUUUGAAAGAUUUUAAACUUAUGUACAAAAUAAACAUUAACUGGUACUAUUCCAAGGUACUAUUGAAAAAAGAAUUAGGGUAAACUAGUAAAGUGAUAAUGAUUUUUUUACUGGGGGAUAAAAGUUUGACAAUUCCUCUUAUGAAUCACUUCUCUGUAAUCCUUCUCUGUAAUUCCUCUUAUGAAUCACUUCUCUAUAAAGUCUACUUCUGGGACUUUAUCUUAGGAGUCAUUUGAAAAACAAGUUAGUUGAAAUGACAGUGUACCAUGGAAGUAAAGAAUACAGGCUUUAGAGGUUUCAACAUAUCCAAGUUCAAAUCCUGGCUCUGAUUUACUCAUUUUAUAACCUUGAGUAAAUUAUUUAUGAUAAGCUUCUGUUUCUUCAUCUCUAAGUUGAAAAUGUAAAUAUAUGAUGUAAAGUACUUAGUGUUCAAUAAAUGGAUGCCAGCUAAAAGCAAAGAAUGACUCCCAACAGGUGAAAGUUGGAAACAAACAAUACUCAAUAUGAAUGAAGUUAUGAAAAUUGAUGUAUAUAUAUCAGGUGGAACAUUAAGCAAGCAUUGAAAAGACAGUAAUGAAGACUCUGAUAAUGGAUGAUAUCUAAGACGUGCUAAAUAAACAUAUAAUGAAAACAUUUCUAUAUUUACAAUGCAAAUAGCUAAUAAAAUAUGUACACAGGUGAACAAAGAUUGGAAAAGAAUGUGAAUUAACAAAAACACAGAAGCUCACAUAAUGGGGAUUUAAAAUGCUUUCCUCAAUGUUACCCUGUUUUUGCCAAUAAAUGAAAAACAUAAGAAAAAAAAAAACAACAGCUGAGACUUCUGGCAUCUAGUGUGGUGUACAAGGAGCCUAGCAGGAGCCAUCCUAUUGUUAAUGAGCCAAAACCUGAACAAUCCAAAAACCAACAAGUCUUCUUAAUUAUUGCAGAGAACUGAGGUCAAAAUUAGAAAGACAGACAGGUGGACGCAGAGAAUCCCCACUUACUGGAUCUGCGACCUCCGUGGGAACAAGGACUAGCACAUGAAAACUUAAACUGUAACUGAUGGGCCCCUGGGUGGCUCAGUCUGUUAAGCAUCUGCCUUUGGCUCAGGUCAUGAUCCCAGGGUACAGGGAUCCAGCCCCACAUCGGGCUCCCUGCUCAGAAGAGAGCCUGCUUCUCCCUCUGCUCCUCCCCCUGCUUGUUCUCUCUCUCUCUCUGUGUCAAAUAAAUAAAAUCUUAAAAAAAAAAAAAAAAGAAAAGAAAAGAAAAGAAAAAAACCAAAAAAACUGUAACAGACAAACUUUGGAGGCUCAGGGGGGAUCAAUGCUACACAUGGCAGGAGGGCCAGGCUUUUGUGAGUUUUAGCUCCAGGAGCUCUGCGAGGUUCUUACAGUGAGCACUGGGAAGAAAUCUCCUGUUUCUGGCAGGGAGAAGGGGAAAGCAGCCAGGGCAUUCUGUUCUUUGGGCGGCCUGCCCUCAAAAAAAACGGUUUCAUCAGAGCUAACCGCUUAAGCCUGUAUCAGAACCUGACUAAGCUGGAGGAAGGGCAGACACCCACCUCUGGCCUCCUCUCGCCACCCGGCGACCUUGUAAAAUUUACAGUCCGGAGGCACAGGCUCUCUACCAGACUGCUGCAGCUCUGGUAGCCAAGUCCACUAAGCUGCGAGCUGGAGAAAGAACUAAGAGGGUAUCUGCCAGUGCAGUCAGUUUUCCCCAGAUCCCUGCCCAAUGACUUCAUUUAAACUGCUCUGGCCCCCAAGGGACAAGUAAGGCUGGCAAGAAUGUUGUAUUCCUGGGUGCCUGGGUGGCUUGUUUGAGUAAGCAUCUGCCUUCGGCUCAGGUCAUGAUCCCAGGGUCCUGGGAUCGAGCCCCACAUUGGGCUCCCUGCUCCAUGAGGGUCUGCUUCUCUCUCUCCUACUGCCUGCCCACCCUCUGCAUGUGCCACAUCCUGCCCCCAUCAAAUAAAUAAAUCAAAUCUUUAAAAAAAAUUUCCUAAUUUAAAAAAAAUUUAAAAAUAUAUAAAUAUGUUCAAAUCCUAAUCCCCAGAACCUGGGCAUACGUUUGGUUACAGGGCAAAGGGUUAUUAAAGUUGCUAAAGAGCUGACUGUAGGGCGCUUGGGUGGCUCAGUUGUUUAAGUCACAACCUUUGGCUCAGGUCAUGAUUCCAGACUCCUGGGAUCGAGUCUGGCAUCGGGCUCCCAGCUCUGCAGGGAGUCUGCUUCUCCCUCUGACUUUCUCCCCUCUCAUGCUCUCCCUCACUCUCUCUCUCUCAAAUAAAUAAAUAAAAUCUAAAAAAAAAAAAAAAAAAAAAAAAAAAAAAGCUGACUGUAAAAUGGGGAGAUUAUCCUGCUUACGUGAGUAAUGGAAUGGAAUCACCAGUGUCUUUAUGAGUGAAAGAAGUAGAAGAAGGAGAACCAGAGGGACGGUAGCAUGGGACGGUUUUGCUAUUGUUCACCUUGAAAAUGGAGCCAAGAAUGUGGGAAGCCUCAAGAAGUGAGAAGUAACAAGGCACGGAUUCUCUCUUAAAGCCUCCAGAAAGGAAUACAAUCCUGUCAAUACUUUGAUACUAUCCCAAGGAGACCCAUUUCAGACUUCUGAACUAUAGAACUGUAAGAUAAUAAACUUGAGUUGUUUAAAGCCA